GUGAUCUUGAAGGGACACGCAGGAAAGUGGCCCGAGGCCUGACGGACGCGGUGUUCUCAGUCAUGGGGUUCCUGCUGACAGGUGGCUGCUCCCUGCCCCACGGUUCUGCUCUGAGCAUCUCACAGCGUUGCUGUAAAUUGAAACUCUGGGGUGUCGACUAGGGAUUCCUUUAUGCCAGUAGUUUUGUAUUUAAAACUUUUAAUAAGAUUGCACGUAUUUAUUAAAACUUGUAAAAAAACACAGAAAACAUUAACUGCCGUGACCACCACCAAAACCUACCGUGAGGAUAAAGACAUCUUUGCGUGACUUAUGAUUGAACAGUCCGUGUGUGUGUGUGUGUGUGUGUGAGAGAGAGAGAGAGAGAGAGAGAGAGAGAGAGAGAGAGAGAAAUCCACAGAGGGGGAGAGAUUGAUUCUGAUUCGUAACCUUGAUCAGUUACAUCGUUCAACAAUAUGACGUUUAAUAAUAGUUCUGCAACUAUACACGUUUAGACAAACAUUGUUUUGGAAUUUUUUUAUACCUUUGUAAAUAAUCACUUAACAGAGAGGAGAGGGAAGAUGAAAGAAAAACUAUAAUUUCUACUUGGAAAAAUGGGCUGACUAAAAAGUUUUGUGAACAGUAUUCUUUGGAUUUAAGAGUAGUUUAGAAUUUACUUCAUUUUUAAAAAAUAUUUUUCAGCUUUUAAAAUAUAGUGCGUAAUUGUUCAGCAGUUUAUGAGAAAUAUGUGAUGGAAAGGAACUCUUUUUUGUAGAGCAAAGAAUAGCAUGGUUUUUACAGCUGGAAACAUUGCUUCUGAAAGACUGCAUUGAGAAGAUAAAACAAGAAGGGCUUCCCAUGCAGUGGUGAGCAGUUUCAAGUAUGUGUCUUUUGUGGGGGGAAAAUCAUUCAGCCAUGUAUGAGGCCACUGGAGCUUUUGUUACAUACUUUUAUUUUCCUCGUUUGAAGUUUUCGGACAUUUGGAGUCUUUAAUGUACAAAGUUAAAAUAGGCCUUUUGAGACAACCAUUUAGAAGUAGGCUGAUCAUGAAGAUGAUGCAAUACUUUCUGAAGUUGGAAGAAUUUACAAGAAGGAAGUUGUGGCUAUGUAGCAUCAGGUGCAUUUCUUGUUGCCGUUUCUCCUGCUUGGGGUUCCUUCCCAUGCUGUUUGGGGCUCCUUAACUGCCUGCCCUCACAAUGGAGUUGCUGUGUCCUUAUGGCCCUUAUGUGAAGGGUGGAGUAUUUGUAGUGAUGAGUGUUCUUGAGGGGUUCUGGUAAUAUUCUGCAUAAUAAAAUUGAUAGGAAUGUAUGUGGGAAAUACCAGAAUCUUCACAUUUUGUUUUUCAACACUCCUUUGGCAUCUUGGAUGAUAUAAGCUGUGUAGCCAAGUGGGCCUGAGGUCACAAUUUAGGAGUUUUGCUCUUUAGUUCUGUUGCUGUAAGAGGAAAGAAAAGUGUAGGGGGUAGCCCAGUGGUGGAGACUUUCUGUGGCUAUGUGAUUGCUAGCUUCUGACCCUGGGGAGGACUCCUGCGGUUGUUAAAAAGUAGACUUGGUUUGUGUGGGAGAGGAGUGCUAGGCAAGACCUUAAUCUUGUUCCUGAACUGUGGGAGUAUUGUCAUUCAUUCAUUCCUUGUAUUUGACUGUUUAAAAUGUCAGAAAUGAAGGUGGGAAAGGUGAUUUUCUUUGAGGGGUACAGAGGUAAAGGACUUUUGUUUUUGUCACACUCAUGACUAAUAGUGUCUUAAUGUUAUUGUCCAAUCUGCCUCUUCUUUCCAGAAUUCUGUGUGUGAGUAUUCUUAAAACAGAAUCAGUGAAGUCUAGAUUUCAGGCAUCUGUAGAUCUGGUGUCAGACACCUUGGGGAACAGCAGCAUACUUCAAGUCUAGAGAAAAAGUGGCUGUGACAACUGGCCUGUUUGGGGUCUUUCUAGGCAUGCCCCUGUGAGAGCUGUGCUGCAUUUCCUUGUGAAGUCCGCUUGUCUAAUCUUGGCUUGGUUUUUGCUUUUCCUGCUUGAAAUAAACCAUCCCUCUCCCUUUUUCUUUUCUAUUUCAAGAAGUGCUGGGCUUGUCCAUCUGAACUUUUCUUUACCCCAAGUACUUGGGGAAUGUGCAGAAAAAGAAUCAACACUUGUAUCCACUUCAUGUUAUUAAUUCCAGUGUCCAAUCAGUAAAAGAAAACCUUAUUUGGCAAGCUGGCUCAGGUUCCUAUUUAGUGCUGGUAAAUCAAUCAGGUCCUGAUCCUAAGGCUGAUAUGGAAGCCUUGCUUUUCAUUCACCUCACAUUUAACAAAUGUUUAAUUAGUCGUGUUAUCAAGACUGAUCGGUUCCUCAUCUUCAUUCUCAUCCUCAUCCUCAUCCUCAUCCUCAUCCUCAUCCUCAUGGCAGGGCAGGCGAGGAAGGUAUUUUAAGAAUUGCACAGAAUGACACAAAAUUGUUCAAUUCAAAUUAAAAGCUUUGAAUAGAAAGUAGUACUAGCCAGGUGUAGUGGUGCUUGCCAGAAAUCCCAGCACUUGAGAGGCUGAGGCAAGAAGAUUGCUGUGAGUUCGAGGCCAGCCUGGGCUACAUAGAGAGACCUUGUCUCAAAGAAAGAAAGUAGCACUUUAUGAAUUAUGAUAAUGUCUCAGAAAGAAUGAUAUAAACCCAGGUAGGACUAGGAUACUGGGUUUCUGACCUUGUCGGGUCAGGGGUGGUAUGGGACAGAGAUGGAGGCAAAGGAACGUGAUUCACCAGGGCUGACCAGUUCUGAGCAUGUGAGUGGGCCUGGCUGAACCGAGGAGGUGACUGUUUGGUUUGGCUGAGGGGAUAGGCUUUCCUCCCACUCUCCUCCUUCCUUCUGAAAUACAUCCCCAGCCCUUUUUCUGAGCCAGGCUUUCACUAAAUUCCUGUGUUGCCAGGACUGGAGUUAAAUUUGCUGUCCUUUCUCAGCCUCUGCUAGUGCUGGGAUCACAGAUAGGCACUGCAGUGCCUGAUGAUUUUCUAUCUGAUGAUUUUCUAUCGAGGAACUGAGGAUGGGACAGAACACUUUACAGUGUUUUCCGUUGUCCUUAGAGGACAGUAAGUCCCUGGUGGUCAUGGGAUGCCAAAGUCUGCAGGUGGAGGAAUCCUUCUUAAGUACGUGUGGUCAAGUCCCCUCAAGAAACAGGGCUGGAAGAAUGCAGAUUAUGACCAGCUGUUCUGCCUUUGGCUGGACAUAGGUACCCAGGCAUCGGAGGGUUUCUUCUCCAUAUUCUUUUCUCCCUUUUGUGGUCAGUGCCAAGUAAGUUACCCAGGGGUAUUUGAGGUGAGAACCCUGCACGGCUGCACACGGCCACAGCCUUGGGCUGCAGCAGUGGAAUUAUGGAUUGGGACAAGGUUCCACACCUGGUAUAAGGGAAAGGUUUGGAGCUUCGGGCAGGGCACAUCUGAUUUGGAGUCCAGCUCACAGCCUGUAACUUCCAGCAAGUCGCAGAACCACUGCGCUGUUCGUCUCUGUGCUCGUCAGGUAAACUUGGUGGUGCCCGUGUCACAGUGAAAAUAGCUGUGGGCGCCAAGGCCUUCAUCUGUGGUCCCUGAGAGUUGGUAGGUGACCUUUGGACCAUCAGCCUUGGUUGUUUUUUUUUUUUUUUUUUUUGGUGGUACGUAGGGCUUUGGCAUUGAGUUCCACAUCCAGCCCCUUUUUCACUUUUUUUGAAACAGAGUCAUGUUUGUUAUGCAGUUUAGGCUGGGCUUGAACUCACUGUGUAGUCCAGAUUGGCCUUGAAUUCAUGGUGAUCCUCUUGCCUCACCGUCCCUCGUUCUGGGAUACAGGUGUGUAUUACCGUACCCAGAUCUUUAUAUUUUAAUGUUUUUGAGUUUAUAUUUUAGUCUCCUCGAGUUGCUAAGUUUUCCAUUUUGGGCUCAUAUGUGCAGUUCUCCUGCCUCAGCCUUCCAGAGUGUUGAGAUUACGGGUAUGUGGCACUGUGGCUGACUGUAUAUAAUACUGUUAAGUACAGUUUUUGUGUGUGUGUACUGUUGGGCUGCAGGUUCUCUGCUGAAUGGUAGACAUGUAGAGAUGACUCAUGCUGCCUGGUGAAGCUUUAUACCCCUUAAUAGGUUACUCCCUAUUUCCCUGUCCCCUUGGUUCCUGACAGCCUCCAUUCUGCUCUCUCGCGUCUGUGCUUUAACUGUGCACGUACUUCAUGUAAAUAGAGCCGUACUGUGUUGAUCUUCUAUAUGGCGUGGUUCCCUUUGCAGAAUGUCCUCAAGGGCCAUCCCUGUUGCUGUGUGCUGCAGGGCUGGCUUCUUUCUAAGGCUGAAUCUGGCCUCUGCAGGUGUGUGUGUUGUGUUUUCUCUGCCCGUUCAUUUGUUGAUGGCUUUUUAGGUGUGUGUACAACACCAGAGGAAAACAUAGCAGGCCUACAUAACAUCAGUCUCAGCACAGUUUCAUGGAUGAGAUGUUGAGAACGUGGGCAGCAAAUGCAAAAAUAACCAGAUGGAACUGCAUGAGUUUUCAAAGCCUCUGUCUAGUCAAGAAAGUAAUUAACAGCGUGGACGGCAGUGACUUGUAAGAUGAGGGACUUGUAACCCGUGUAGCUAGAGAAGGUUAAUCUCCAGAAUAGAUAAGGAGCUUCCACAACUCCAUAGUGAAAAGCCUAGUAUUCUGAUUAAAGAACAGGUGAAAUAAUUGAAUUGAUGUUUCACCUCCAACCUUUUAAUUCAGGUUUUUAGUAGAGUAGCUGCAGAGUUCUCAACAUGUUGGCUUGGGGACACUCAGAGGGAAAGGGACUGUGUUGCUGUCUUCACCCAGUUCUGCAUUUCUCUUCCUGCCUUCAGGAGAGUUUUAAAGCUAGUGUUGCUUUGCUGCCCACAUUCCCUCUCAUAUUCUAUUCUUGGGCAUAAGUUUUGACAUCUUCCUAAAGUGUCAUAAUAAAUGUGCAGAACAGAGGGUGUGGUACUGUGGUGUUGACAGUAACAUGUGAAAUACAUUCUGAUUUCCUGAGAGUUAGUGUUUCAUCCAGGUUUUCAAAGCAUCUGGGCCUGAUGGAGGCUAACAAGCUUAUAAAACUCAUUGUAAAGUCCUGCAGCAUAAAUAAUCAGAAGUCGUUUAUGAGCAUCUAUUGUAGAUACAUUGAAAUUCUCAUGUCCUAGACAAGAUAUGUCUAUGUAUGACUUGAUGUUACUUGAAAUAGAUAAACUAUAUUCAAAGUUCUUUUCUCAGUGAUUGUAGAGAAUGGUUUGGAAAGGAGUAGGCCAGGACUUAAAUUUCCUGAACUCUUAGCCUAAGCUCACCUUGACUUAUAGCAUAUGAUUUUUGAACAAGCCAUUUAGUUGUCUUCCAACGUCUUCAUCAGUAAAUUGGAGACAGUCACAUGUCCUUCCUUCUUAGUGUUGUCUUGAGGGUAAGAUUCAGGCAUGUUUCCUUGAUUGGGAAGCAGUGCCUUGUGACUAAGUUAUUAGAGAGUUCUUUAGGGUUGUUGUAAUGUGUGGGUCAGCUUCAGGAGGAGGAGAGGCAGGCAGGGCCCAGAACGGAAAGGAAAGUCAGCUGCAUCUUUCUGGAGAAUCCUGGGGCUCCAGAUCCUUGUGAUUUUCCUGUGUUCCUGGAAUGGGAGAAAUCUCAGAGGUUAUGGCCAGUGAGACAUAGAUUUCAACCUGGGUUAUUAGGGCUCCUGUAGUUUUUAUCUGUGAAAUGCAAUGAUAACACAACAAAUGUAAUAAAUGGCAGUAUAAUUGUUACCAACCAACUGAGCAUGUCCUAUGUGGUAGGCAUUGUGUUGAAUGCCAGCUGACAUUUGUUUCUUCCUUCAAUGGGUAUUUGAUGAUGCUGCUAUAUGCCAGGUGCUGCUACAGACUCAAAAUCAGGGGGUAGGAUGGGGGUCAGACAGAAAACAAGCUAACUGCACAGUUUACAUGGUAAUGGGAUGUCAGAGUAACUGCACACAUAUAUUCGCUAUCAAGAAGACUAAAUCAGGUCAGAGAGCUGGAGGCUGAUGGGAGGGGAAGUGGUGGUUUCAGCAGGGUGAGGUCCCUCUAGGGAGGAGAAUUUGAGAUCUGAAGGAAGGAAACGGACGAGCCUUACUCAAGCUUGGUGUUAAAGAAGGGGGCACAGGCUAGAGUAGGUAGAACCAGAUGGGCAGGGAGGCAGGGGAUGGGAAGUAGGGUCUGAGCUGGGCAGUGCAGGAGAAGCCAUGGAUUCUGAGCAGGGAAUGGAAGAAAUUGACCUAAUGUUUUAUAAUGUUCCUUUGGGUAAUGGUUGCAGGGGCCAGCAUGGAAGCUGAGAGACCUAAGUGGGGCCAUUGCUGCAUCUGGGGCAUUGCUCCAUCUAAUGAAUGGAUGGAGGUAGGGAAAUGUUUGGAUGCUUGAUGUAUUUUAAAGAUGGAACCAUCAAAACUUGCACAUGGAUGUGGAGCUGGUAUUCAGGAGAGAAAGGAGUUGACAGUGGCACAGUCAGGGGUAAAGGAUUGACACCAUUUGUCAAUGUGGGAAGACUGGCCAAGGUUUUUUUUAAUAAUGUGCUCAGCAGUCUCUGAAAUUCUUUAGUAUUUAUUUUAUUCCCAUUUUAGAGAUGUAGAAACUGAAGAUUAGAAAAGCAUAAAGUUUGCCUAGGGUUAGGAGUGACUUGGGCUCAAGCCCUGCAUUUUCAUCCCAGUUCUGUUCUACUUUGUAAAUAUCUGAAUCUCUGAAUUUAAAAUGCCAGAUUCAUGUGAGUUGCUUGUGCAGAUGCUUUGGAAAUGCAUCUAUUUUUUAAUGCAUCUUUUACAUUCCUUUCAGGUCACUCAUUAUCAGUGUACAGUUUGAUAGUUUUGAGUACAUUUGGAAGACUGGGCAGUCAUCAUCCUAAUCCAGUUUUAGAUUUCCCGGUUUCUGUUUCCAUCCUCAGCUUUAGGCAACUAUUUAGGCAGUUUGUUUUCACUCUCUAGAAUUUUGCCUUUUCUAGAAAUUUCAUACACUCUGACCCUUUGUGCCCCGCUUUGUUCAUUUAUAUGAUGUUUUUGAGGUUCAUCCACUGCUGCAUAAUACAUCUGUUUUAAGACACAUUCUUGACCUUUCUCAGAAGGAGGUACUCUGUUUUCAAUUGAGAAACAUAUCUGGGAUUCUUAAGGUGAUGAUAAAAAUAACAGCACUGGGGGCUGGGGAUUUAGCUCAGCAGCAUAAGCGCCUGCCUUGCAAGCACGUGGCCGUGAGUUCCAUCCCUGGUACCGAUAAAAAGAAAAAAAUAACAGCAUUUAUUGAGCAAAUAUUAAUGCUAGAUUUGGUUCCAUUAUUUUUCUUUUGUAAUCUUUCAAGUGAUUCCAUGAGAGAGUGCUAUGAUUAGUAUAUUACAAAUGAGGAAGCUAGUGCCUAAAGACCUUAAAAGGCUUGAGGAUGGUAAGACCUGAGAUUAGUCUGGGUCCUGGUCUCUGCAGAACUGCCUCUUGGCCUCCCGCCAUUCCUGUAAUGAUAGAUUGAGAGCUGGUACAUCUUAGCUGCAGAGAGGGCUGGGAGUCCCACUUUGAGUAACGCACUUACCAGAUAAAACAUGGUUUUUAGGAAAAUAUUUGUCCUGCAUUUUUAUUUUGGUGUUACUGUAGAGAAAUUAUAAUGCUGUACAGUGAUCCAUUUGUGAGGUAAUUUUCUUAGUCAUGGUGUCAGAAUAGCACUAAAUUAAAACACAUAAUUAUGUUAUUAGACAGAGCUUGCAUGUUUGAGUAGUGUUUUAAAUAUUGUGUGCACCAGAAAUGCAUUUUGGUGUGAAGUAUCCUAAGGCUGUUUAUUACUUUAUUAUUAAUGAAUGGAAUUAAUUAAGCAUCAUGAACUUUUCAAGAUACUGAUGUAAUUAUGUAUUAAUGCAUUUCUCUUGUUCUGUCAAUAUACAUUUAAGCAGUGUUUUUCCCAUCUACAUAAUGUCUAUAUUGGAAGAUUUUAUGUUCUGUAUUAUAAAGGAAUUGUUUGUGUAUCAAAAGAAUUCUGAAAUUUUUGAAAAUAAUUUAAAUACCUCAUACACAUAAUUACCUUGAUCACACCUACUUAUAUAAAUUUGUUCAUGGUGAGCAAUAAACUUGGAAUGAGGACUAAUGUCUUAGUUGCCUUUCUCAUUGCUGAGAAAAGAUACCCAACACCUGAAGUUAAGGAAGGAAGAAAGAUUUACUUAGCUCACAGUUGGCUCAUAGAGAUUUCAGUCCGUAGUUGGCUGGCUCCAAGGCAGGGUGACUUGGCAGGGGAGAGUAGUUUGUGGCAGGUGGACUGUGUAUAGCAACAAGGGGAAGACAAGGUUCUUUCUGUCCCUUGUAUCACAUCUACUGGGACUAGGGAGGUGCCAGUCCAAUCAGUGGACUGGUUUAGUAAGCACAUCCUUUUCAUCCUGGCAUUGAACCAUGAAAUUAAAGUUGCAGUAAGACUUCAUUUGUACACAUGACAUUUAUGUCCUAUGUGCAGAGUACAUGUAUAAAAAGACAGAAAUCAAAGCAAACUGAAAAACCUCUAGGGUGCAAGUGUUAGUGUAGAAUGCUGCUCUAGAUGCAUUAAUCUGACUUGUGUCUUGAAUGUUUUUUCUAUUUUUUUCUACUCUUAUCUCGUAGGUGGCUUGAUGGCUUUAAAUGCUGAUUUCUUGGUGCAGAGCACCAAUUUUCUCAUUUUUUACAAGCAUAGUUUUCAGAAGCAGCUCUGGGCUGGCAGAAAUGUAUUGACAAAAACUGCCAAGGCGAGGAACUUGCAAGUUUCUUCUUGUGAUAUCUCCAGGCACUGCUACCAAGUCCAGUCCUCUGACCUGAGGGUCUCCCCUUUCUAAGCUAGGUGGGACCUUGCUGCCCUAGCCUGGUUUCUGCUUCUGGGCUCUGCCCUUUCAGUGGGUAGCAGUGCUGGCAUGGCAAAAUGUGCAGUCUGAAAAAUCAGAUGACAAAAGGUGGGGGAAUCCCAGCAACCUGUUGAACUCCUUACCAGCCCAUUGUUGAUUUAUUUGAACUAGGAUCUAGAAAAAAGCCUACACAGUGCAUUUGACUAUUAUGCUGCUUAAUGGCUUUAUAAGUGGAGAAGAGCUUUUCUUUUUUCACUUGUCUCCCCGCAUUACUGGUUUAUUGAACAGAUCAGGUCACUUGUCUAGUUGAGUGUCCCACAUUCUGAAUUUGGCUACUAGUUUGCUUUUAAAACUUGUUCCACAAGUCCUGUAUUUCUGUAAACUGGAACUUGGCACUGACACGUGAUUGGAUUCAUAGUAGGCAGAGUUCACUUGUUGCUGGUGUUAUCUGUUCUGUGCUUUGUUAUCCCAGCACAAGGUUUGGUUGUCUACUCAUAGUGAUGUGACCAUUGAUCAUUGGGUUUCUGUCUUGGUUCCUUCAUGCUUCAUGGUGGAUUUUCCCUGUUGACGUAUUCCCAAUGUCAUCAGCAUGCAUUGAUGACAGUUGCUUGAAUUAAUUAUCUCAAGAGAGAUCAGUUAAGAGCAUGUUAGUGUGAGAAGAGAUUUAAAACUGGCUAUCGAGUCCAGGAAAACUGUCAACAUUGAUGCAACUUAGGGAUGUUAGAGACUUAAUGGGUAAAAGCAAAGAGUGACUUGGCUUUUCUAGUGGUUGUGGGUACUUCCUAUUAUUAAAAUUAAUGGCUGUUUGCAAAUCUUUAUGAAUGAUAGUGUGUCAGUUUAAUUGUAUUAUAGAUCUUGUUUAACAGCAAUAUAAAAUUCUGUGCACAUAUGCUACCUACGUGCUAAACAUAACAUGAUUACCUGUUCACUACCUAUAACAUAAGAUUAUGAGAUACAUAGUUCUAUAGUCCACAGUACGUUAUCUUUUUAAGUGAUUAUUUAAAAUUUACUGACACAUAUAGACAUUUAUGUCCUGUCUUUUUAAAAGAAGUAUCUAUUGAUGAGUUUAUAAGAACAAGAGAAGGAUGAUAAAACUAAAAUAGUUUUCUCUUCUGCCAAGAUGUAAGAGAAAUGGUCCCUUAAAGGUACCUUUGAACUUCACUGUUUAGAAAAGAUGAAUUAUUGCAGCGUUUCCAGUGAAAAAUAGUUGAGAGGCCUCCUAAAGGGACUUGGUCAUAGCAGACGAAAUUUAUUUAUGUAUCCUCCAUUAUCACUGGGGUAUAUCAUGACAUAGGACCCCAGAAGUCUGAUGUUUGAAGGCCAUUGGUAUGGAAAUGGGUUGAUUUCUCCUAUCAUUGGCAGAUCAUCCUUCUAACAGUGUGCUCCCAGAAACCACUUCGUGAGAAAGGCUUUGUAAAAGCAAGUCCUAGGAGUUGGGUGUGCCUCCUAUGGGCAUGUCUCAUAUUAGGAGUCCUGUUUUUGACCAGACACUUGGUAUAAAAUAAAUCAUGGCUACCACCAGAAACAGUAAAGCAUAUAAAAUCUGAAAUCCUAAAAGAAUUUGAAAUUGAAAAUGACUCUGUGUUGUCAGAGAGGGUUUGAGCAUAGAGAAGCCAUGACAGCCAAGAGUUAUAGGAUCUAGACUUCUCAUUUUUAGUGAAUAAACUAACCCUUCGACGUACUAAAUAGCUUGCUCAACACCACACAGGUAAUGAUGGGUGGAGUUGGAACCAAAACUCACCCAGAGUAAUGAUCACUAAAACUUCAGUGUUACUCAUAGACAUGCCUAAUGCUUUACAUGCUUCUCUCUCUCUUUUUUAAUCCUAAUAACGACUUUGUAAUACAGGACUGUGCCUGGCUGUCUUUUGCUGAGAAGCACACUGAGGCAUAAAGAUAUUCAGUAACUUACGUGUGAUCACAUAGGACUCAGAUACAUUCAUUAUAGAGAAUACUAUAUUCCGUUACCCACUCUGUAGUCCUUUCUCCUUCCUUCCUUCCCAUCUUUUUUUGUUUUUUUCCCCAUGCACCCUCUUACUAUUUUUAAGUUCAUUAUUUCUUAUUAAAAGAAUGCUUUUUCUUAAUGACCUAUAAACAUGACCUAAUAGGGUUUUCCAUAAACUCUUAAGAUCUAUACUUUUUAAAAAAAUCAGCCCAUUUGUUAUGAAUAUGGUCAAUGGAACGUGAUAUGCUUGCUGGAAUAAGUAUUUUUCAAUAGUAAUUUCACUUUUUUUAACGUUAAAAAAGCUUUUGUGUCCUCAGGACUUUUAAAAGAUGUCUAGAAAGGUUUGAUGGGAUAGUGUCUUAAUAAAUGCCCUGAGCCAAUUCAGAGCUUUAAAAAUAAUUCUUCUGAUCAUUCUUUAAAUUUAAAAAAGUCAUGUUUUACCUUUAGAUGUUUGGAAGCAUCAUCAAGAAGCUUAGUGGCUUGUGGUCUGGGCCAUCCUCAUCCUUCUGUCCUCCUCCCUCCCUCUCUUCAUAUCCUGGGCAGUCCUGAGCAGUUCUGCAGCUGGAACGUGGGGAGGGUUCAGUGACUUCAGGGGCAUGCACAAGGUGGCAGUUUGGAAACCAUGAGGAUGAGAAGCCAUUAUCUUGCAGUGGAAGAGGACAUUAGUUGGUUUUCUGAAUGUUAGUCUCUCUUUUAUUUCUUUCUUGUUAUUUUUUUUUUGAGGCAGGGUCUCAUGUCCUUAAGCACGGCCUUGAACUCUUGAGGCUUGUAUGAUCUUCUUGCCUCAGCUUCCUGGGCAGUGAGGACUCAGGCACAAUGCCCAGAUAACCUUCCUAUUCCUCAAGACUGCUUAUGAGGCCCCGCUUUUCUCUGACCAUGCUGCCACAGAGAGCCCAGUAUGGAUGCCUCAAGCGUACUAAUUAAAAUGGUAACCUGUGUUCAGUGAGUGGUGAGGAGACAGACAGAUCCUGAUCAGGUUCCAGAAAGCAUUCACUUAGAGUGACCUGCACGCUGAUCCAUGGGUGCCUUGAAACAGUCUGAUAAAAAUACAUUUGGCUUACAAAUACCCAUAGAUAUGCCUGGAGGAGGUUUGCUAUUUUGAUUUCAUACUACAACUGAAGUCCGUGUGACUCUACCAAGACUGUUUUCUCUCUACUACACUUACACAAGAAACUAAAUAGCUCACACAUGUAGCCUGGUACAUGUUGCAGGCACACACUAGUGAACCAUAACACUUAGCUGACUAAUUUCAAACUCUGCCUAUUUAUAGCCCCUUCAGAGCUGUCAUCAGACAGCUGGUGGUAUGUUCACAUCAUGUGGACUCACAGGGCUUUUUAAGUGGAGAUAAAUUGUUUUCACUUCAGGGUGGAUCAUUUGGCAAUGUUUCAGUGUGAGCCCUGACUGGAGUUUGCAGCAGUCCUUGUAGGACUGAGCACAGGACCAUGCCCUAGGAAACAUGCAGCUCUCUUUCUUUGUAGACAGCUCUGAAGCGUAAGACCUCCUUGGUGCACACCUGGGCAUAGGGCUCCCUUCCUUCACUUCUGACUUCACCAUUUCCUCUGUCUCACCCAUCAUGCCUCACCCUAUCUGCAUUGUACUGCCACUUGUCACCACAGAAGAAUAAAAAUAUGAUCCGGAAACUAAACUUCUUAGUUAUCAGCAUGGUAAUGACAAUUUUAUUACGAGAAUAAUGUUUAACACCGUGCCUUAAGGCUGCCUUUUUUAUGUGUAUGCAUAAGAAAUUCUUGUUCACACUAAUGGAAAGUUUGCAAAUAUUAAAUGUUUAAAACACUUAAGUGAGUGGGUGAGGAUGCUCUUUGCCAGCUGUCGUCUCUUGUCCAUAUUCUCAUGUCUGUCCAGUUACCUACUGUUUGAAUUCUAAUGAAUGUUUCACAGUGUACUCUACAGAGCUCUUGUCUCUGUUUUUAGAUGGCUGUCAGUUGUGCUCAGUUUACUCUGUAACCUUCAGGGCACGUGCAUACCACAGAUCUAGAGCACACGUCUCUCCUGCCACAUCCUCUUCUCCUGGGAACGUCCCUUGGUACGUUGCUCCACCUGUGGUGUUGGUAGCAGGGACUGUGGCUCAUGGGAAUGGGGAAGAGAGGAGGGAAUAAAGCCUCACCUCCUUUCACUUCUCAGCCUGAUCUUAGGUGAUUUGGAGCAUCUUCCUUUGAUGUGAGUGCCUGGAAAGUGGUGUGAGGGAGCAGAGGUUAGUGUGGUGGGGUCCAGUGUACAGUGGGCCAUCCUGGUGCCGGCUUUCAUUGUGGAGAGAGCACUACAUGUGUUUUCUUUUUUCUUUGUUGGGAUGAAAGGGUUGAUGCUCUUCCUUGAAUGUCCACCAGCUGUUUUAUAUAGAUACCAGCAUCUUUAGGCCAUUGUCAGUCCUGAGACCCUUUGUUUAUGGUGAAAUGAAAUGGAAGGCUCUGAGGACUUGAGGGCUGUGGAGUGAGAACACCAUUGUCACCUGGGAGGUGCUUCUCUCUCUGGGGUUCCUGUAGCCUCUUGAUUGCUGCUGUGGUUUUGAUUUCUGGUUAGGAACUUUGUGGGUAAGGGGCCAUGUCAUUUUACUCUCUUGUGUCCCUAUAGGUCCUGGGUAGAGUAAGCACUGUUCAAAGUGCUCGGUGCUGUGCUAGGUCAGGCACUGACCCACUGACUGCCUUUGACACUGUGUGUGCUGUUUUUCCCAGUGGGGCUGCAUAAACCUCCUCAAGUCUGCCUUGUGUCACCUCCUCAGCCUGUCCUUAAGCUCAUUCCCUGUUGGCAUCUGGAAUCUAUAGGGGUAGCUAAGCAGUUCCUUUUAUGAGGCAGUAUCUACUUCUGUGUUUGUAACAUUUUUAGCCCCACAUUUUCUGAGCUCAAAAGUCCUUUUCCUAAAGAUUGCGUUGGAACUCAUCCAAGUGAUGACCAUGACAAGAAGUACCUUUUGGGAAAGGCUUUGUGUUGUAUCCCGGACCUUGCAUCCCAGGAGGUGGCCUUGGGAUUCCUGCAGGAGUCUGAGCAAGGUUGAAAUACAGAUAUUCCUAGUGAGUGGACAAUUUUGGCCUUCUCUCCCUUCACCUCUGGAGCUUCCUUCUCUGUGAACUUUUCCUUCAUGGCAGCUGUGCUGUCAGUAAAUGCACAGGUUAAUGGGGUGGGGCCUCUUCUUCCUCUGUCCCCACCCACGCUAUCUUUAUGAUUCGGGUGGAGUGAGAUGUCCGGCCACAACUUCCGUGACCCUGCUCUAAAAACACAAAGGGAGAGAGCUGUGCAGUAUGGUUGGGAUCUCCCAUAGCAAAACAUAUUAAACGUAGAAGGGCGCAGCUGCUAAGUGGGUGCCUGCAAAGGUACACCUGCUCUUGUCCUGUUGGCAGAGCUGUGUGGUUUGUGUUGUGGUUCUGCAUUUCACAUCACUCAUUGUUAACGAGCAGUAGUUUUCCUGCAGUUAACUUAGUUCUAGGUUAUGCAUGUCUCCCUCGAGUGUCCUGCCUCUGGAUCUUAAAUAAGACCGUGACUCUCACACGGAAAUGGCUACAUCCUCCCCUGUCUCCCUUGGCAACUUAGGCCGGAUGAAUAAUUCUUCUUUUUCCAGAUUCUUUAAAUUUAGAAGCAAUAUGAGUUGACCAGUUCUGAAAUCAGAGUGUGUGGGCUGGUCUUCGGCGGCUGCAGUUUGCCAACUUGUGAUUUUGGGCAAAUGAAUUAUCUGAUUUUGUUUCCCGAGCAGGGAGAGGGAGGUAAUGAUAGUGCCUCCUGCACUGAGUUAACAGUGUUGAAUUACUGCAUUAGCAGUGUGCCUGUGGAGAGUGAGCACUUAGAGAAAUGAUAACUAGGUGUGAGCACUUAGAAAAUGGUAACAAGGUGGCUGUGUUGUUGGUAGUGUAUACUUCAAAGUUCGGGCAUUGCUUUUAGAGCUGUUGUCUGUCUUCUGGUGGUCUGGUCACUGUCUGUUCUCUACCUGUGGCCAGAAUGAAUUGUUUGAGAACUCUACAUACACUUAUGGGGACAGCAAUGAGGUGUUGAAAUUGAAACUGUCCCCAAUAACCUGGAUGCUGUUGGCAAGUCAUACAAGUAAGGUAUGUUUUUCCAUGGCCGAGGACUGUUUAUUCUAAUGCACCCAAGCCAGGAGUAUGAAUUGUGGCCACAAAGAUUGUCCAUGGUACGUGAGGAUUCUAACUGUUGGCCUGGGCAAAUUCCACGAGUUUUUGUUUGGUACUGGGCAUUGAACCUAGGGCUUUCACACUGAGAUACAGUCCCAGCCUUUUUAUUUUUGUUUAUUAUUUUAGUUUUCUUGAGAUAGUGUUGCUAAGUCACUGAGUUGUCCAGAAUAGGCUUGGACUUGCAGCCUUCCUGGUAGGCAGCUUCCCAGUGUGUGCAGUUUUAAACAGUGAUUCCAGACUUCAUACAGCGUGUCUCCUUUUGCGGAAUGGAUAUUGAUUUUGCAGCAUCCUGGCAUAAUCAUUAGUUGGUAAUGCCAGAAUUGGGCAUCUUUUGGGAAUACGAUGAUGGCCUAGUAAGCCUGUGUGCGGGAUAGCUAAGGAAAGGAUGCUUCAGAGGAGCUGGUGUUUAACUAUGUUCAGUGGCCUGGAGCACUGAACCUGCACUUUCCUUCAUUAUGCCCCGUUUUCCAACCACAGUAAUUCUUCCUUUUAUGUUGUUCUACAGCCACAUUAACCCAUUUGCAUCUUCCUGAACUGUAAGUACAUUCUUGCUAGGACCUUCAGGUCUCCCCAGAUCUCUCUCUGGAAGGCUUUUACACACAUUCUCAGUGACCCCUCUGGGCAUCUGUGUAAAUGCAACCCCUUGACUAGCUGCACCCUCUGCCUCUCCUUUGUUGUUCUUCCUUGCACAUCAUCAGCUUAGCUUCAUAACUGUGUUCCUCCUCCCCAGCCGUCUCUAAAUCAUGCAUUCUGUGGACUCAGUGACCUAUUCAGGCCCUGUCCAGACAGAGACUUAGUUCUGUUCUUGCUGUGUGUGGCUGUAACCUCAGGUGUCCUUCAGCCAGGUGAGAUUGCUUUUAUUCUCCCCAAAGCCACAGAGGAUAGAGUUCUUUAGGUCUUUAUCUCUGACACUAGCUUCAUCAUCUGUCUUCCCAACAAGCUGGCAGAAGGAAAUGAUACUUGGAAAGAAAAUUCUGCAGAGUACAUUAAGUUCCACCUUGAUAGGAAAUUGGGAGCCAAGUAGGAGAAUCCGGUUAGCAUUUCUUUUCAAUGAAUUAAAAUGAAUUAAAGACCAUUGAAUUAAAAGCCAGACCUAAUCUUAUGCCUUCCGCCUUUGUGGUUUUUUAAAAUAGAAGAUAGCUGUGUGUUCAGUGUACUUUCGUUUGUGUGCAGAAGGAUACUACCUAUAUUGUAGCUCAUUGUCCCUUACUUAAGGUUCUAUGUGAUGAACUUCUUUUAGACUAUCAUGCCUUGAUUUUUCUCUUAAGAGGAUGGGAUGCCAUUUUUUUCUGAGAAUAAAAAAUAUGUAACUUUGUUUUGUUUUGUCCUGGCUAUGAGAAAGCUUAAAACCACACUUAAUACACAGAUCUGGAAAUUAUAUGUGUUCUAAUGUAUAACAUUUUGCUAUGUCUUGUAUAGGUUGCCUUGAUUUUCUAAUUCUGUUAUAUUUACCUACUUGCAUAUUUGACUUAUAUUUUAAGGUCCCUAAAUCGUCUUUGGAAAGUACCAAGGAAUGACCAAGCAGUUUUUUCUCUCUCCUAAUAUGAGGUGUAGAGCCUUAAAAUUAGUUUUGAAAUUCCCUUGCCCUUUGUGGUUUCAACUUGGGUAACUGCUUGCAGAAAUUUCUGUUUGCUCAAGUGUAAUUUCCAUUUCUUUGGCUAAUAAGCCCAGGGUAGCAAUUUUAGGAUGGUUGCCCACUGGGCAGGGAGGCUGGCACUGGUAAAUUAUCCCAUACCAUUGGAGACAGAGCUCUCACCGAUUUUAUCUGGUUCAUUCUAAUUGUGAGAUUUUCAUCGCAUUUCUGUAGUAGCCUUUAACCAUGUGCUGCUUUAGGGAAACCAGCCAUCUGGCUCCAGAGUAUUAAACCUACUUGCUUAUGAGACAGCAUCUUCUAUGUAAUUGAGGCUGGCUUGAACUUGUUUUAUAGUCCCAGCUGGCCUUAAAACUUGGAAUCCUCCUGUCUCAGCCUCUUGAGUGCUGGAUUAUUACCACCAUGUCUGGCAAGAAAUAAUGUUUUGAUUAUGUUGCAUGAUUAUAUUCAUUUUUUAAAAAUCUUUUUUGAGGCAGGGUUUCACUAUUAUAGUUCAGGCUGGCCUUGAACUUACUUUGUAGUCCAGGCUGGCUUUAACUCCCAGUGAUCCUCCUGCCUCAACCUCAGCCUCCCGAGUGCUGGGAUUACAGAUGUGUACCACUGUGCCCAGCUGAUUAUAUUCUUUUUGACCUACUGCUAAAAAUCAGUGUUUAAUUUUUUUGUUUUCUUUGUUUUUAAUUGCAGGGAGGAUUUAAUCUAACACAAAUACUCUUCCUCUACUCAGACAUAUGAUAAUUUCUCUAUUUCUUAACAGUAAUCAUGGUGAUCUCAAUAUUUCUUAUUAAUGAAUACUUCUUAAGCAUUGCAAACUCUUUAAUUUCAUAGUAAACAGCCUUAUUUCUCUUUCUUAGAUGGAAAAAAAACUAAAAGAAGUGAAAAGAUGUGAGUAUGCUGUUAGGAUUCUAGUAGUACAUCACACUAUUGUAAAAUAGUUCUUCCCAGUUAGAUUCAUCUCACUAACGUCAUGUAGUGUAGAAAGACUCCACUAUUUGGGAGGAAAUUUCCCAAUUGUUAACUACAUUCUGACUCUAUUUUUAUUGUGAUAAAACACAUACAGCAAAUGCCCAGAUUUUCAUCAUUUUUAAGUGUAGAGUUCAGUGGCCUCAAGUUCAUUCAUGCUGUUGUGCAGCCAUCACUGGCACCCACCACUGCAACUUUUUUUUGCAACUUUUUAUUAAAAGCUAAACUGUGUUUAUUAAUUAGUUACCUCAAUUUCUCUGCCCCUCAGCCCCUGGCCACCAAGUUUCUGCUUUCUGUCUGUGACUCUGACCACUCUGAAAACCUCCUAUAAGCAGAAUCACGUACUAUUUGUUUUUUGGCUUAUUUCAUGUCACACAAUAUCCUCAUGGUUACCGUGUAAUAACUUAAAAACUGCCUUCCAUAUGAAGGGUAAUAUCCCAUUGCAUGUAAAUGCCAUAUUUUGUUUAUGCAUUUGUCCGUUGCUGGAUCUAACUCACUUUUGAUAGGGUAGCUCACAAGCUGCAUUUUAAAAUACAAAAUACAGUAGGAAGUGUGUGUCCCUUACUGUCAGUGGCUGGAGCUGCCCAGCGUGCACUCAGGUCAGGCACCUGCAUGAACUGCUGUGUGGUGCUGUUGUGGUUUCCUUGGAUUCCCACUGUUACACAAAGCGUUCUCUAUGCCAUGUUUGUAGGCUUUUCAAGAGAGAAGUCUCCUGGGAGGUGAUAGGUAAACAUUAAACUAGAAACUUCGAAAAAUAUUUCUUCUGCUUUAUUCAGUGCAGGAUGCUUAACUUCAUUACUGCUUAUUAUUGAUUCACAUGGUUAAGAGUUUCAUGAGCUAUUUAUCCUAGAGGUCUUCAUAAAUGGCAAUGUCAAUAAAGAAUGUCGCAUUUCUUUCUUGCUGUUUUCAGGUUGAGUGUAGUAUAGUAGAGAGUAAGAUUAUCUGGAAUAAAACAGCUCUAGAGUCAAACAUUCUGUUUCUGGGUGGCUUGACCAAUUUUAUGCUGUUUAAGAAGAGAUACACCAGCAUCCUUAAGCAGAAUUAGGCCAGGUUAAAGAUGGAGGUAUGUUAGAAAAAAUGUGAUGUAGUGUCAUUUAAAGGUCAUAUUUUUAGCUUGGUGUGGUGGCACAUGCCUAUAAUCUCAACACUCAGAAGGCUGAGGCAGGAGGAUCAUUGUGAGCUUAGGCCAGCCUGAACUGCAUAAUGACACUUUAUCUCAAAAAGACCAAAAAAAAAAAAUCAUGUAUUUUUUCCUGUAGAAUGUAAUUGCUCAAUUCCUUUUCUGUGAGUUUACUAAAUUUACCAAUAAUCUGUUGCAGGUUCUUAUGCUAAUUUUUUUCUCAGUCUCUUAUCUUAGUUAACUUAGGUUCAUAAGAUAAUGGACUGAAAGUGUGUGAUCUGCUAAUUUAAUUUGAUGCAAAGAGGGGAACCAUUGUGAUCAUCUCUGAGUACUUUGUUCUGAAGUUUGGAUGACAGGUAAUUUUUGAUCUGUAGGAGCUCAGAACAGGAAGGAAACAAAAUAUAGGUAUGAAAGAUACUUCCCAAAUGCCAUUUGUUUGUCCAAGAGACAUUUUUACCAGUCUGCAGAAUGUUUUACUGAAGAUCGUUUUUAGAAAUGAACAAAUUAAAACACCAGCAAAAAAACAUGGCUUUUAGUUGUCAAAUGAAUUAUAUCCACCAGACUGUAUAGUUUUAAUGGCUUCUGGUACAAAAUUCAGAGUAACAGUUCAUUUUACAGAUCCAGUUAGGAGUAACUAUGGAAUGCCUGAAAAAACGUAUACCUCGAUAACCAUUUGUUAAAUCUAGUUAAAGAUUUUGGGAGAGGGUUGCAUUCAUUAGUGUGUGCUUGUGUGUGUGUGUGUGACACUAAACUCUGUUCUCAGGUAAUUCAUUUUUAGCAUUUAUUUAUUUAUUUAUUUAUUUCUGCAGUCAGAGUAGAGCUAAACUCUACUACCACUGCUUCUUAGGUCUUUGGGCACAUUUCAUAUUGUGGGCUAGGAAAAAGCAGGAAGAUCAGAUAAACUUGUGAGGCGCAGUUAGUAUAAAAGUAUUGCAGGCUCAUAUUGGUACACUUGGGAGGACCUGAGAGAAUCAGACUUGAGCUACACAGCACCGCAGUUUUUCCAGGGUGUCUCCCUGUGCCCCUUGUACACAAUGAGUAGGCUGUGUCCCAGGAGCUGCCUAGUGCCUGCCUGUAGUGGGGCACAAGUUGACAUCAGCUCAGUAAGUAGGUGCUGUGUAUGCUCCCACAGUUACAACGUCACAAUCUUUGUUUUGAUGUUGAUUUGUUACUUCCUAACAGUUGGACAGCAAUGACCCAGAAUUUUGAUGGAAUCCCUGUGUAGAGAGGAGGACCUGUCAGCCCUGAGGUUAUACAGUUAGUAGUAGAACACAGCUGGGAGUAGAACUCCAGUCCCUCCUCCCACCAGGGCUGUUUAUUCCAAAGAUCAUGGUACACUCCAAUAUAUGAUGCCCAAUCUGAGAACAGCUGGAAGACGAAUGGCAUUCUUUAUUUUCUAUUGUAUUGUACUGAACACAUUCUCUGCUGUCUGUAGUAAAACUUGGCAUAUCUCCCAAGUAGACUGUAAUGCCAUGAGUUAGAAUCUGAAGGAGCACAGUUUUCAUUUGCCUCAGACCUUGUGUACAGGUAUUAUGAUGAUGCAUAAGAAAUACUAAAACUCAGCCUCCUGGAGUGGGGCAGUGGAGUUAUAAAUAUUUGAGAGGGUGUCAGAUGGGCAGGUGGUGUGAAUGCCAGGCUGUGGUGUGCACCCAGACCCGGAAUGGGGUCUGAUCUGUGAUGCACGCUGCAGACUGUGACAGCACCCAGCGUGGGAGCUGCUUGGUAAAGGUUACACAUUUCCUUUCUUCAAGGGUAGAUUGUAAUCAGCCUGUGUGAAGGGCAUUUGGUUUCAAGUAGAUUUUAGUAUGAACCAAAUUUUACCUAAAAGUGCUAUUGAAGACAGUGGUGUGCUGCAGCUAUAGAGGUGGCAUAGUCUGUUUGGCAUCAUUUGCCAUAGUUCCUGUAGCCAUCCAGCUUUCAGAGUUCCUUCUUUUUGAAGAAAGAGCUUCUGGGGUGGCUGUUCCUCACUCACUGUGUAGGGAACUGCCACUGUUGAGAGGUGUGUUUUUACUAUUCAUCUUUUUACUUGUCACCUUGGAUGAGUUCAGUCUCUGGAACCCUAUGUCACUUACAUGUUAGUAGACAGGUGUGGGAUUUCCUGGGCAUAUUACUCUCUUGCUAAAAGGUGACCAUUUAAAACCUUGAAAAAUUCAUGCUUAAAGUAGAAACAAGAAAUUGUGAACUGGAGCUAAGGAUGAAGGCUGGGCUCUUCCUGUGGGAUAUAGAACAGUCUAGUUCAUUGCUGGACAUUGUGUGGACUUAACCUUGUGGGCUUCACAAUGAGCCUGAAUAAAAGCCAUGUCUUAACAGUAGUGAGUCGUAUUGGAUAUUGUGUCUUUGGUAGGAAGAGGGCUUUAUAAGAGGUUGUCUCUUUCAUUGUCAUGUACUCACUUACAUUUUUUCCCUGGUAUUCUUUAAAUGCCUAAACAUGCUUGUUAAACUUUGGAGGAGUUGCUGUUCUCUUACUUUAAAAACAUCAUUUUGUGUUCAAUAACUUUUAUCACUCCAUGUUGUAUGAUUUAAUCCAUGCUGUAUGAUUAAAUUUAUGUUGUCUUUGGAGAUUUCUCUUUCCAGUAAAAUAUGACUCUCCAAUGAAGAUCAUGGGAUUGGUGUGUAGUUUGAAGUACUUAUUACAGCCUGAAUGCUUACCCGCCUCACCGUAUUCACAUGUUGAAAUCCUACCUGCAGUGUGAUGGUGUUUGGAGGUGGGCCUCCAAGAAGUGACUGGGUCCCAGGGUCCCAAGGUGCAGCCCACACAGAAGGAGACGGAAAACAUGCUGUCUCUGUUCUCCACUGUGUGUGGACAGGUGAAUGGACUGACCUCUGUAGACCAGGAAGCAGCCCUCACUAGGCACUGAAUCUGCUGACUCCAUGGUGUUGGACUUCCCAGCAUUCAGGGAAAUAAAUAUUUUUGGUAAGUCACUCAUGCUAUGGUAAAUUUGUGUUAGUAGCCUGAGCUGACUGUGUGCUUUAUUAAAGUAGCACUUGAUUUUAACUUACCUUUAUACCUUUUUCCUAGUAGUUGCAGAGUACUUAAAAAAAAAAAAAAAAGGCAACAGAAAACAAACGAAACAACCACAACACAGUACUCUGAUGUGUCCAGAGAUGCAUUUGUUUCUCUUGCUUGCUUGAGAUUGGGGGUUGGGGCUUGAGGGUUUCUUGUCAACCCACUAAGGCAGUGUACUACUUUAGUCCCUGGCUAAUGAGAAAAGGAUUUUAUAGCCCUCCUUUAUCUUGCGUAAUAAUUUUCACAGUGGCUUUGGCUUUCUUGCACCACAUUAUUUCACCACUCUGUCCUGCAGGCCUAGUGUAUACAAAUAUUUAGUGAAAUAUGAUGUUAGCCCAGACAAAUAGAUUACACACCUUUUUUUUUUUUUUGUGAUUAUAUCUGCUGUGUCUUUUCAUUUGAGAAAAUAUAUGGGCUAUCCUUAUGUUAACAUAUGGUUAUCAUCUUCCUUCCUUCCUAUAUAAUCAUAUUUCUUUAUAUGAAAAUAAAAUUUUUAGUAGCAUUUAUAAAUGCCACCUUAGUAACCGUGGCCUGGCAUGUGAACAUUUUGUAUUUUCUUAUUGUUACUAAUGAAAUUGAUGUAAAAAUGUGAUCUACUGGCAACUUGGCUUGAGAAAAUAGGCUGACUUAGCAGUGGGGAUUUCUGCUCUGUUUCUGUACUCUGAAUUUGAAUGAGCUCUGGGCUUGUCCCGCCUGCUUAGUUGCAUUUAGACUAAGUCUAGAAAAGUGACCUGUCCUAGAGAACCUGUGAAAGUUUACUCUGCCUGCCCCAGAACAGGCCCUGAAUGUGUGCUCUUUUGAAGCAACAGUGCCCUGCUUUGAGGUGGGGACAGAGAGAACCUGGCCAGGCGAGGGAAGGGCAGAGUGCCCCUGAUGCCUCCCAAGGUCCCUAGUCCCAGGACUGCCACUCUCCUGGUUACCUGUGACCUUACUGUGCCGUUGUAUUUGAUGAAGGUCCAAACACUCCCAGGCUCGGCUGAACUGUUCUCCCCAGAACUUAGCGGAAAUUUGACUCAACAGAAGUACAGUAGAAUUGAUAGAAUUUUUCUGCAUAGUUUUUCUAAAUAAUGCUAAGACAUUUUUUCUGGAACAAUGUAUUUUAUUGUUGAAUCUUUCUAACUUCCUUUCAUAGGACUCAAAUUAUUUGAUGCAGUCUUAACAUGUAUACGUGUGUGUACUUGCACACAUGUAUGCACAAGGCAAAUACAGCUAAAUACAACACCCGUGCCCUUCCUUCCUUUCAUGGUGAUACAGUAACUUGAAUCUUUUUCAUUUUGUCUUUUAUUGUCAAGGACUAUUUUUUACAUUUGCCUUUCUCUUGUUAGCUUUUGGCAGUUGUUACAGUUCCAAAUCCAUCAGGAUUCUCUGGGUUCAGUUAUCAAACACAUCAUUAGCAAAAUACAUGGGAUGUAAGGAGACUCAGGAUUAGGCACAGGUUUGAAUGAGUACGAUGAUGUGGAUGAUGAUUUGUGAAUCAGGCAUCUGAGAAUUGAGUUCUAAAGGGAAGGGAUGCUGAGACAAGGACCAGCAGGAAUGCAUUUCAGAGCUUAGAGAAUUUGUGACUUCAUUGGUGGGGGGUUAAAUAUGUCUUUGUACCAAAUAGUUUCCAAUGUGGUGAAAUACAAUUGUGGGACACCAGGUCUGCCAUAGACACCAUUUACUAAGAUCCCAAACAGUGGUCCCCAAUUCAUGUGGAAUGUAGCCCCUUUUCCACCUACCCAGUCUCUUCUCAUCAGCACUUGCAUCUGUGGGUUCCUUCAUCCCUCCAGGCUCAGGGGACUUUGCUCCUACAACAGCUCAGUGCUUUCCCUCUGUUUCCUUGCCUUCCAUUUCUUCCACUUUUGCUUGUCUCCUCCCUUGUGAUCAGCCAGUUCUCAGGCCUCUUUCCCUCCUUCCUGGUCCUAUUAGAAACCCUGCUGUUUACUGUGGACCCAGCAACUUUUGUGAGUGGAGAGUUCUGUCCCAUGCUGUGUGUGGCUGGAGGUUUGGAGGCUGGAGAUCGGGACCCUGCCUUUCUGGCCACUUUCAGAUUGUUACUUUUCCAUGCCCAUCUUGUUCCACUGAGGCUCAUUUCAAUAAUCUUCUGUCCUUGGCCCUUCAAUGCUGUCAUUUCCUGGUUUUAGCCCCCACUGACCAAUUAGGCACUGGAUGACAGACUUCUCUUAGGUGUCUGUGUUUAGCAACACUCCGAGGUGAUGCUAGUAGCAGCCAGAGCUGGGAACCAGCAGUUCCAAUUUGUAUGGGAGUUGGAAAGGUUAGGGUCCAGUCUGGAGACUGAAAAGAUGGCCAGGAUAUAGGAUGUUCAGUGCUCAAACCAGGCUGAGUGCACUACUCUGCAAUUUCUGUUCUAGGUCUUGUUAUACCAGGAGUUGCUGUGAUGUGAAAUUCAGAGAUUCAACCUACUGGCCCAAACAUCCUGCCCUUCAAUUCAUCUAAGCAGGAGUCAGAUUCUUCUUCUGCAGGUCUGUUUCUGGCUCCUGCUUUGACUGUCUGCCAGUCCUGUCCCACUGUACGUUUCCAGUGUGAGCCAGCACUGCAGCUCUGCUACAUCCCUGUGCCUGCUGUCUUGGCUCAUCCCAGCCCAGGAGGCCUAGGUUGCCAGAGGGAGUGGCCCAGAACUCUGUGAGAUCUGUCCCUGCCUCACCUGGGUCUGCACACUUCCUGGAAUUUUCCUUAUCAGCCCUCUCACUUCCUGUAGUGACUUUCCCAACCUUAUGACCACUUUUCUCCUUACAUCUCCAGUUUUGUACUCAGCCACUUCCCUUCUCCUUGUCUCUGCCUGCAGAUGGUCUUGUGUCUUGGAUGAACUGGAUGAAGACGGCUCCUUGUUCUUCCCACUGGCUUUGCACUCCUGCUUCUGUGGCUAUCUUGUUUUACCUUUUUCUUCUUACACUUGGAAGAGGAAUCCUUGUUGCUUUCUAAAAAUCAGCUUUUGCACUCCCUCCCUCCACCCCUUGUGCCUUGUGUUGGUGUUUCCUUCUUUUUAAGCAUUUGUGAAUAUUCAGGCCUCUCCCACCUUAAGACCUAAGAAGAAAAGAGCAGCUCAGCCCUUCUUUAGCUGUCACUUUUAUUCUCCUCUUGGUUAAACUGAGUGAUAUUCUGCUUUUAGGUGUGUGUGGAUUAUCUGUUACUGUGGAAGAGACUAUCACAAAUUUAAUAGUUUAGGCAGCACUCAAUGAUUAUCUUACAGGUUCUCUGGAUUAAGACUCUGAAAGAAAACAGUCUGCAUGUUUGACCUCGUUUCAUUGUACUGAUCUCUUUAAUGAUUCUUUUAAAUGAAAACUGUUUUCCAAAUGCAGAGGACUUAGAAGAGUAGAAUUGUUUUCCAUUUUUAAAGAUGUGUUUCAUAAUCAGCUUUAAUAAAAAAGUAGUUGAGUUCCCACACCUGCUUCUGAUUUCAGUCUGUGAUGACAGUUUGUUUUAGUUGCAGUAUGUACAAAAAAUCCAAUCUCAACAGAUAAAUGAUGGGCAGGUUAGAGAGUUGAAAUGACCUUUUCAGAAAUUGUGUGUUUUCUUUGAUGUCCCACCCAAACUUGACAGGUGAUAAAUAUCUUAGGGUUAGUUACAUCGUGCAUUCUGAAAUUUUAAGUGAUCUUCUCCUAUUCUGAUAUAUCAGAACAUUGCUCUAUUUUCCAUUCUGACUAGGAUACUAAAGGAAUAGUUAAGUCAGUUAUAAUACAUCCAUGUAAUGGCAUACUGUGCAGCCAGAUUGCAAGAAGUAUUUUACCACAGGUGAAAUGCUCACAAAUGUAAUAAUGAAUAAAUGUUAAAAAUGAAGUGUUUGUAUUGUUUUAAAGGAAAUUUACUGAAAUGUGGAUAUAUUUAGUGAUAUAUUCAUGGAUAACUCUUCUUUUCUUUUCUUUUUUUUGAAGUAGGGUUUUGUUUUUAUGUAGUAUACACUGGCCUUGGACUCACUGUGUAACCUCUCAGUAUCCCCGUCCGGCCUCAGAGUGCUUCAGCCUCUCAAGUGCUGAGUACAGAUGUGUGCCACUAUGCCUAGCAAUGUUGUAGUUUCUUUAUACUUCUGUGUGUUUUCCAGUUUUGUGUGAACAAUUCAUUGCUUCUAAAUCAGGGUAGGGGAAAUGUAUUUUUUAAAAUGAGAAAAUAAGGAUGUCUGUUAAACGGAUUUCCUUGUCCAUAGGUUUCCUUAUAUGGGGAAAACAUCAGGAUUGACAACUGUAGCAGCAGUGUUGUUUUUCUUCAAGUUUUUAUUUAUUAAAUGGAUUAAUAUAAUCUUUCUGUGGCUGUCCCAAGCCUUGAAAUUUUUCGUGUUUUAGCAACAAUUUAUUGGUUCAGCAGAGAAAUGUUACUCAGAGUUUAUUCAGGAAAAGUUGUGUGCAUUGACCUCGCACAUGCAGUGGAGACAAAGCUACCUUUUCCCAUUCAUGGCUUCGGACAGCUCUGCUUCUUGUCUGAGGAAGAUGGCAGAGGAUGUCUUGUCCUACCGUGAUAAUGGCACUUCCUGUGUGGUUCAGAAAUAACCUGUACACAGGUAUGUGGUCCCCGUCUUAGCUGUGGUGCCCUAGUCCUGCUGCCAGGGUGUGGGUGUUGUCUGCUUUUCUUCGGUUUUAUGGCCGCAAGUUGAAGUGGUUUCAGAAAUGCAAAAGGCAGCUGGCAUUUGGGGAUUAGUUAGUCACUGCUGACCCUUGGAUUUAGAAAGGAUGUUUGCCAGUGCUUAUCUGGCUACUACUUUGUUCUAAAGAGUUGGCGCUGCCAGACUUUCGUCUCUGGAGAGACAGGAAUCUAAACCUGGUGAUGCUCUGUUGUCCUGUUGUUCAUGUUCCUUAGUUUUACAUUUCUUAUGAUACAAGUAAUUAUUAAGAUGACUGAGGAUGCAAUGAAGCAUCCACAAAGCAUGAAAUAAGCAGCUUUGCAUCCACCACCUGUCAUAUUAUAGCUCAGGGCAUCAUUACUCCGAUGGGUCUGGGGGCUGUGUGGGGCCCAUGGGGGGCCGUGUGGCCGUGUGCGUGGCCCUAUGUGAGUGACUACCAGGGAUUGCAGCCUCUCCCCAUUGUCUACAAAGGCGCAGCUCCCAUCGAAGUGUCAGCUGUGAGAGAGGACUACUUAGUGCAUGUUCAAAUACUGCUUUACAUUAAAAGAGCACUCUGUCCUCUGCUGAAAGCCAUUGUGAAUAUUAUCCUAGUGGUUAAAAGUAUCACUAGGUUUGGAAAUACGCUACUUUCAUUUCCAUCCAGUGUUAAAAGCUAAAUAUUUUGGAGAGUACACUCCAAAUAUACCUAGUGGUUUCUCUUUUUUGUUGAAACUACUAUUUUCAUGUAACUGUUUUUUGAAUCUACCAGUGUCUUUUACAUAUUAGACUUGGUUUAGAUGGAUUUGCAGAUCCUAAAUAAGGAUAUUGAGUGUUACUGUUGUGUUACCAGAACCAAAGACUGCAGAGGCCUCUUACCCUUGCCUGCACUCGUGUUGAGAGUUCAUCCUUCCCUUGGUCUGACUCUUGCCUGUUCUCUGUCCUUCUCACCACUCCCUUGCCCUGGUCCCUCUUGCUGUUUCCAGCUCUGGCCUCUGUCUGCAAAAGCUCUUCCCUGCUUAGCCAGUGGCUGGCCUCUUAGUUCUGCAAUCUUUGCUCAUUAUUGUGGUGACACCAACUGCUUCAGCAGGGAAGUUGGCUGUGACCGUUUAUUUAAAGUAGAAAGUAGCACCCCUCUUUUCACCUAGGUUUCCGCCCACGGCCUUACCGCUGUAUGACACUGAUUUUCUUUGCUUGUUUAUGGUCUGCUGCCUGUGCUGAGUGCAGGUUGUUCAAGGGCAGCAGCUUUGUUUCCUUCACUGCUGAACCCACAGACCCAGAGACAGUGCCUGAGCCUUAGCAUGGAAUAAACACCUAUGAAUUCAUGACAGAAUGGAUCACCUGGUACUGCCUCCUGGGUGACUGAACAAGAUGGUAUUUGCUUUCCAGGUAUUGCAAAGACAGGAUGAAUGGCUGGUUCUGCUUUAGUUUGAUCAGACAGCACCACCACACACACUGUUCCUGACAGGCAGAUGCAGCCAUAUGGGACAGUGCACAGUACAGUAGGGUGUUCAGACAGUUAGCUAUUAAUGCUGACUUCUGUCAGGGGCACUCAGAAUGGUAAUAUGCUAUAGAGGCGGAGAAAGGUGGGGCUUGAAAAACACAAGGAGGUUGGUAGGAAGCAGUUUUCAAUUUCUAAUUAGUAAAUGUUGGGACUUUCAUAACUGGAACUUAAUUUUGAUGAUAGAAAUGAAAGUCUUGUGUGAAUGUCAGUUAGGUUCUUGUUAAAAUAUUGGUUGCAUCAGAUUUUUUCAUAGGCCAACAAAGAGUUGGUAAUAGCUGUUUCAUCCAUGUGCCUAAAACUGUCCCUGUCAUGACUGCCUCCUUGGACCCUCCAUGGAGAUCUUUUACUGACUGUCGCGUGCGAACCACAUCUGACAGUGGGUCUGCCUCUUCAGCCGGAUUUCCUGUCUCCUCCCUGAUUUGACUGGUCCUGGUUUUAGCACCUGUGACUGACCAUUUGGGCCGUCUAAACUAUCUUUUUGGAUCACUGCUCACCCUGCCUGGCCCAAGCCUUGCUUCAGAUGGAGCUUUCACUCUGACUCAUCUCUUUGCACACCACCGCAUACGUCUGGUUCUUCAUAGUACAUGAUAGUGUGUGACGGUCAGAUGAUAUUUGUGUCUUAGUUUGACUCUGUCUUAUAUCUAUUAAAUCACUUAAGCCUUGAGUGUGCUUAAUGAAAAAAGUACAGAAAAGAAAAAAUAAGACAAACAUUUGGCUUUAGAAUCCCGUGGUGACCCCAGUGGAGGGUGCCAAGCACUUAGGAGCACUGGAUAGGCCUGGGGCACAGCACUGUGUGGUGUAGCACCUGCCCUGCCAGCUAAAAUGAAUUUGCGUAGGUGUGGGCUGUGGAUUUACUAGGUUGUGUGAAACUAGAAAGAGGAUGUUUAAGUUUGUAAUCAGUCUCAUUUUUGUCACAUUUAGUGAAGGCUCUUACAGUUUCUUCUUUCACCCCAGCACUGAACAACACAAUUUGAGUCCUCCUGCAAGAGUGAGAAGUCCCUGCAAUUUUGGAUUUUAGUGUCCCCCCAGCUGCCCUGUGUCCCGUCAGAGUGCCCAAGGUGAUGCCUUUAGGGGGUGACAGGCCUGGUGAGGAGGUUGUAGGGUGCAGGGCGGGGUGUUGUGAGGGGAAUGCUCAGUAGCAUUUGGCCUUGCUGGGGUGUGCCAGCCCAAGCACAGCAGGACUCGCGGACCAUGGAUGGAAAUCAGUCAAAAGCUGUGAGCCAGAAUGCACCUCUCUCUGCAAAUUGACCUUACUGCCGGAGGAGUUUGUUGUAAUAAUGGAAUGCUGACUCACACCGAAGCUGUGGACUGAAAGGAUUUAAAUUCAAGGGUUAUUGAAAUUGCUUGGAAUCCUUUGAAGUUACUUUUUUUAAAUAAUAAAAUUAACUUGAAACAUAAAGUAAAAUUAGAAGAAUUAUUAAACUUCCAGUAAUUGUUUGUUCUCCAUAAAAGUUUUGUUUUCCUAAAAUACCACUUAGGGUGGGGCACCUUGGAUCUGCCCAGGUGGUCUGUGCCACAGUGUAGUGAGAGCCCUCAAGGGCAGGCUGCUAGGUGUCUCCACUGUCCCUGGCCCAGUGAUGCUCCCACAGGUUGCACUUGGGAGGUGGUGAGAGGGAGGCAACUGAGCUCAGGCAGAGCUCAGGUCAGAAGGUGAAAUCAGGCUUUUCUAAAGAUGUUUUUCUAAUGGUUUGCUUGACUCCAAAACAGGAAAAGAUAGUUCUGCUUCAUUUUUCUUGUGUCCUGCUCUACAUUUGCAAGGAGUGAAAUGUAUAAUUUUAGAGGCUGGGCUUUUCAGGCUGAAUGACCUUGGGCAAAUUGCUGGCUACUCUGCUGUCAAGAAGGGAACUAAUAACUCCCUCCUGGAACUCCUGGGGACAAUAGAGGAAGUGAAAUAGUGUUUAAAACAUUGCCUGGAAUGCAGUAAGUACUCACAAGUUAACUAGGAGUAGGAGCAGGAUUUUUGUGGGUUACCUUGGAAACCAAGCCAUGAUUGCUAAUGUAAUUUGUUACAAGUUUUAAAGGAUUAAAUAACAAACCAUUUUAAUCAAGAGUUUGCAGUACAGCAUAAAUUCAACCAGGGUGGAGCAAUUAAUAGGGAGAAAUAGAAUGAGAAUUAAUAUUUGGAAUUAAUUAAUGUUAAGAAUUGAUAUUUCCCAAGGUCAGUGAAAACACUUCUGUCACUAUCACCAAUAUAGGUGACUUGAUGUUCACGGAUUGUAUCUUUUCUCCUUACAAAACUUGUUGAGGCAUUUCCUUACCUUAACAUGAUAAUUAAACAUUGAGUAUCUUCUGUGCCUUGGAGGAACUGUAGGAUAUGAAAGAGAAAUGACUCUAGUCCUCAGGUGGCUACAUAUCUAGGAAGGAGACAUCAGGUACACGUGUCCAGCAGUGAUUAAGCAGUUGCAGAUGGGGAGGAGGAGACAAAUCUCAGGACAGAGAUGAAUAGUGGAAGGGCCAUGUUAGACUGUGGAGAUUUGGAAAAGUGAACUUGAGCAGAGAUUAAAAGGUAAGGAUGAGAUGUGGAGACAGAGGCUGGGACAGCUUGGAGAGCCUCUUGGCAAAUAAGGCUCUCCUGUGUGACUGAAGGCAAGUGGGGGAGCUGGUGAAAGAUGUGAGAAGCAGAUCUGGGUCAGAUUGGGUAGGGUGCACUAGAGCUGUGGAGAAUCCAUCAUGGCAGUCACUGGUCCACUUCUGCACGGUUACUGCUGCUGCUUUGUGCUCUCUGCCCCAAACUGUUAGCACCUGGAUAUCUUUGAGAAGUGUAGUGCCAAGGUGGCCUUCUGAGCCCUCACCCUGCAGCUCUGAUGGUGUCACGUACAUCCCUGUGGGAGGCAGGUACCACAGAGUAUAGGGAAGGCUGCCAGUCAGGUCUGAAAGUGGUGUACAGCUUUGCAUUGUCCAGAGCAGGCUCAUUAGUCAGAUUCUGUGACGGACAUGGCUGUUGUGACCUGGACUGACACCUGCAUGCUGAGUGCUGACGAAUAUGUUUCCUUUCUCACAGAAUUCUGGCCAUGCCAGUAACCAUCCAGACACUCAGCAGUCAGCAGUUUUAGAACUUCUCUGCAUUUGGAUGGAGUCACCAUAGAUGAUGAUCAGUUAUAAAUUUCUGAUGUCAAAUCAGCCUUCAGCUGGUUCUAACAGCAGGAAGCCCUCUGGAAAGUCAUUUUAGCCAUGGGUAGUCAAACAGCGCUGCUGUUCAAACUGAGUGCUGGGAAAGGGUUGCACUGUGGCUGCUCUUGCUUUCUUCCUGUGUGGGUCACCUCUGAGGCUGAGAACAUCAUGCAUGGCAGUGUGGAGGCCCAGGUUUAAUCUGGGGUCCGAUGAGUCAUAAAUCUUAGGGACCCCCAUAUUGUUUUGUAUAAUAGCCUAAUAAAAGACAGAUUCCCCAUGUUCUUUUGGGGGAAGGAGGUAUGUGGCUAUGAUGUAUGCAUUGCCCAGUGUGGUGGCGUGUGUGUACAUGUAUGGAGAAGCCGGCAAGAGCAUCCUGAUUAGGGAAAGCCCCCAAUUGCUUUGGCUAGGACUGGGGCAGACUUCUGACCCCAGACACAAGUCACUUGCUACAGGCACAGGGUCUGAGAGUGGCAGAGCUGGGGCUCAGCUUGGAGUUUGAAGCCAUAGUGCUCAGUUAAUUGUAAGGAAAAGUUCAGUAGCAGAUGUUGUGAAGAGUUACAUAAUGCCCAGUGACUCCAAGCCAUCAAAUCGAGUCUUCAUCUUUGCCUUGUACAUCUUAUGAGAAAAUAAAAUUUGGAGUCAAUUAUUUUAAAACUAAGAAGGGCCAAAUAAAACUAAAGAAAGAAAACGUUAGCCUAGGAUACCUUGUAUGUUUUAUAAUCAACUAAGCCAUAAAUUUUGUCAGUGGAAUAUGAUUGUAAGAUUGUAAUGUCAUUAGGAUUCAGUUAAAAUAAUAGAUGUGUUAGUAAAUCUGCUUUCAUUCUGUAAUCCCACAACUCUGGGAGGCUGAGGCAGGAGGAUCACAAGUUAGAGCUUAGAGUAGGCAACUUCACAAUUUGUCAAGAUCCUAUCUCAAAAUGAGAAAGAGGAGGCUGGGGAUGGGACUCAUUAUGAAGACCCUGGAUUCAGUCCCUACUAACAAAAACAAAAACUUAAACUGGCAGUCUACCUCAUAAUCAAUUUUUUCCUUAAGGUGAAGAAUAUUCAGUCUUUUAAAAUUAUUAAAUAGCUGUAUAGUAACAUCCUGUUUUCUGGACAUUUGUCAAUGCUGUUUAUAUCAUUUAGAAUUAUGGUUGCAGUUUUCCAAGUGAAGAGGGAAACUUGGAACUUCUCUAAGUGCAGAGUCAACCAAGCAUAGAUUCCCUCUGGUUUGAGCAGGUAGUGAUGUCUUAAUACUUAAAGGUAGCUUUAAGUAAUAAUGAUAGAUGGAAAUGUGAAACAAGGAACACAAGCCCCAGGUACUGUCUGAACAGGUGGUGUCCAGGGCUCUGCCAGCUGCCAGUGUGCCAUUCGGAGGUAACUUGUUCCACCCUAGGAAAGCACUUGGAGCAGUUACUCUGUGUUUGCUUUUAAUACCCACCCUUGCUGAGUGGUUAGGUGAGGGUGUGUUACUGGCUUGUCUUUAAUCCACUCAAUUACAUGAAUUUGGUUGAAUAUUUAGACUGUUUUCACUUAACAGCCUGUCAGUUCCUGUCUUUACUCACUUUUUUUUUUUUUUUUUUGUGAAGGAUUGGGGAGGGAAUGUGAUUCACGUGAUCCUGUUUUGAAAAGUUCUGUCAGGACUUACUGGCUGCUUGGCUCCCUGGCACUUCCUCUUUCCAACACUGGAGUCUGUGCAGUCCUAUGUUAUGAGUGUUUAUUGCCAUAGGCAGAAUUCCUGGCAUAUUUGAGGCCUGUGCUCUUUAGUUUCUGACGGAGCCUGGAGCCGGGCCGGUUCCAUUCCCUCCUCGCACAGCAGUGGUUCUCUCCUCUCCUUCAUGCCAGCCUUGUGCUGGUGGUAGAGAUCACAACCGCAGCGUACUCCUGCUCCUGACCACCUUCGUGGCUUUCUGUCCUCCUGUCCAGGCUUUGAAUGGAACCUGACAACUUACCUGCUCUGACUUUAGUCAGCUAUUCACCACCCCGUUGAGUAAACAGGCUGAUGCUGGAUGUUCCGUGACUCUCACCCACAACACUGAGGAUGCGGUCAUGUUUCCUGGGAUACUGUAACUCCAGAUCCUUUGCUACAGAACUGUACUGCAUGUCACAAGAGACAGACCUCUGGGGAGGUUCUGUGUGUACCAGAAAUGGAGAGAAAGGGAGGCUGACUCAGGCUCUACAGGAUUAGAAUGGGAAGCUGGUGUCCCAGGUCACUAAAGUGCUGCAGAGGGCCAGGGGAGCUUUGUGAGAAUAUGCCAAGCCAGAAAGAGGUAGAAAUAACAAUUGCUGUUGGGAUUGGCGUCUCAGAGAAUUAAAUGAGAGAAAGAGAAAAAAAAUCUUUUGGUUUUUGUUCGUUUUUGUGACAGUCUCACUGUGUAAUCCAGGCCAAUCUUUGAAAUCACUGUGUCCUCCAUGGUGGCCUCAAACAUAAUGCUUGUCUGCCUCAGCCUUCUGAGUACUGUUACAGGUAUGCACCACUGUACUCAGCAAGAGAGUCUUUACUUUUGGUGACAGUACAUUGUUAUUAGGCAUAACAGUUUUAGUAGUAGUAAUACAGGACUAUUAUAUUUUAUAAAUAAAAGUGAGGUUAUGACUCCAAUUAUGAAGACUCCUAUUAUAGAUGAACUAGAAAACUAAAGCAUCAUUUAAAAUCAUAUUACAUGUGUCCUUAUGUUUAUAUAUUUUGUACUAUAAACUCAGUUGAAAGAUUAUACAGCAAAAUACUUGGAAUCUUAUUUAGCCUGGUUAUCUGUAAGAUUAUAAGCUAUAAAGAGUGAAGAGUCUUAUUUUCAGGUUUUGUUUGAACUCUGAAUUAUCUUGAAAAAAAUUUUAAACAAUUGUUUCUUUUUCCACAGCCUUUUGUUGUAUUUUACUUGGCUUAAUCUAGUUAAAAAGGUAGAACUGUGUUAUUAUUUUUAAUGUUUUUAGAUUAGUUUUGUUGGAAGGAGUAACAAGGCAUAAAAGGAAGUAGUUAGCUGUCAUGAUACAUCUGUACAUCUGUGGUUUAUUAAAGAAGUGUUUCCUGAUUGUUCUUCCAGAAGCAAUUCAUGAGUUCCUUUCUAAUCAGCUGUGAGUAAAGGACAAGUUCUUGUUA